rnacentral:tRNA from 1 species
GGCUGUGGCUCAGCGGUAGAGCACUCGUCUAGCACGUGUAAGGCACUGGGUUGGAUACUCAGCACCA